rnacentral:rRNA from 1 species
GACGAACGCUGGCGGCGUGCCUAACACAUGCAAGUCGAACGGGACCGGGGGCAACUUCGGUUCAGUGGCGGACGGGUGCGUAACACGUGAGGAACAUGACCUUCGGCGGGGGAUAGCCGGCCCAACGGCCGGGUAAUACCGCGUACGACCUUUCGGGGACAUCCCUGGAUGGUGAAAGCAGCAAUGCGCCGAUGGAGUGCCUCGCGGCCUAUCAGCUAGUUGGUGGGGUAACGGCCUACCAAGGCGACGACGGGUAGCUGGUCUGAGAGGAUGGCGAGCCACAUUGGGACUGAGACACGGCCCAGACGCCUACGGGAGGCAGCAGUGGGGAAUAUUGCGCAAUGGACGAAAGUCUGACGCAGCGACGCCGCGUGUGGGAUGAAGGUCUUCGGAUUGUAAACCACUGUCGGGAGGGACGAAUACGCCGCAAGGCGGGUGACGGUACCUCCAAAGGAAGCACCGGCUAACUCCGUGCCAGCAGCCGCCGUAAUAC